ACGAACUGUGCGAACGUUAUUCGGAAUCACUGGGCUUACAGGGUGCGUAGGCGGUCGAUGAAGUAGGGUGUGAAAGGCUCUGGCUCAACCAGAGCAUAGCGCUCUAAACUGAUUGACUGGAGCGAGCUAGGGGUAUACGGAACUUCCGGUGGAGCGGUGAAAUGUGUUGAUAUCGGAAGGAACGCCGGUGGCGAAAGCGGUAUACUGGGGCUUGUCUGACGCUGAGGCACGAAAGCCAGGGGAGCGAACGGG
rnacentral:rRNA from 1 species